UACGUAGGGGGCUAGCGUUGUCCGGAAUUAUUGGGCGUAAAGAGCGCGUAGGCGGUCCGGUAAGUCGGUUGUGAAAGUCGGGGGCUCAACCCUCGGAUGCCGAUCGAUACUGUCGGGCUAGAGUCCGGAAGAGGCGAGUGGAAUUCCUGGUGUAGCGGUGAAAUGCGCAGAUAUCAGGAGGAACACCAAUGGCGAAGGCAGCUCGCUGGGACGGUACUGACGCUGAGGCGCGAAAGCCAGGGGAGCAAACGGG
rnacentral:rRNA from 1 species